UACGGAAGGCAGCAGUGGGGAAUAUUGCACAAUGGGCGCAAGCCUGAUGCAGCCAUGCCGCGUGUAUGAAAAAGGCCUUCGGGUUGUAAAGUACUUUCAGUCGUGAGGAAGGUGUUAAGGUUAAUAACCUUAGCAAUUGACGUUAGCGACAGAAGAAGCACCGGCUAACUCCGUGCCAGCAGCCGCGGUAAUACGGAGGGUGCGAGCGUUAAUCGGAAUUACUGGGCGUAAAGGGCACGCAGGCGGUUAAUUAAGUUGGAUGUGAAAUCCCCGGGCUUAACCUGGGAAUGGCAUUCAAGACUGGUUAGCUAGAGUCUUGUAGAGGGGGUAGAAUUCCAUGUGUAGCGGUGAAAUGCGUAGAGAUGUGGAGGAAUACCGGUGGCGAAGGCGGCCCCUGGGACAAAGGCUGACGCUCAUGUGCGAAAGCGUGGGGAGCAAACAGGGAUUAGAUACC
rnacentral:rRNA from 1 species